ACUCCUACGGGAGGCAGCAGUGGGGAAUAUUGCACAAUGGGGGAAACCCUGAUGCAGCCAUGCCGCGUGUGUGAAGAAGGCCCUUGGGUUGUAAAGCACUUUCAGUAGGGAGGAAGGUAGUGUAGUUAACACCUGCAUUAUUUGUACGUUACCUACAGAAGAAGCACCGGCUAACUCCGUGCCAGCAGCCGCGGUAAGUACGGAGGGUGCGAGCGUUAAUCGGAAUUACUGGGCGUAAAGCGCAUGCAGGCGGCCUGUUAAGUCAGAUGUGAAAGCCCGGGGCUUAACCUCGGAAUUGCAUUUGAAACUGGCAGGCUAGAGUCUUGUAGAGGGGUUAGAAUUUCAGGUGUAGC
rnacentral:rRNA from 1 species